rnacentral:tRNA from 1 species
GGUCGGGUGGCGGAACCGGCAGACGCGCAUGCCUUAGGAGCAUGUGCCGCAAGGCGUGGGGGUUCGAGUCCCCCCCCGACCA